ACGACCUUACUUGAACAGGAUCUGUUCUAUAGGCUCGUACAUCUGUAUCCUUAAGUUCUAAGGAGACAGGAACUGCAGUCUGGUGGAUGAAACUUGGCCCUGUGAUCAGAGCGUGAUUAACGGUAGGAUGGUGGGCUUUGUUUGUGGACAAGACUUCAUCUUCCACCGUAGAGGAUCGUUCCCAGUCUUUACGACUUGGGAUGGUUGCAGGGUUAUCUGACAGACU